UUUGCCCUUUGGCGGCCUUUUUCCUACCUAGAGGAACUUAUUUUCUAAUCGAUACCGCGCGCUAAAUUUCUCUUCUUUUACAGUUUUUAUACCGCCGUCUAAAGACUUUAAUAAAACUUUUAAUCUUUUUUAUCAAGUAAAUAAGUCAGGUCAAGGUGAAGCUCACAAAAAAGAUAAACCCGAGUUACUUAUUUUUAAUAAAAAUGAAUUAUCAGCUAAAGCUAACAUGAAAAAGGAUCUAGAAGUAAUACCCCUUUAAAAUAGUAAUAUGAAUAAGAUAAAAAGGUGCACAC
rnacentral:rRNA from 1 species